CUUGUUUGCACAGCCCCUCCCAAUGCCCCCUCUCCUCUAGAAAACUGUAGCUCUCCCUAUAGUCCUCCCAUUUUUUCCUCCAGAUUUGCCUGUGGUUUUGCUGUGGCAUAUGUGUCCCAAAUUACAAUUCUCUGCUAGUCCCAGAUAAACCCAUUUUUUUCCUGGAAAAAUAUCUGGUUUUAAGGUUAACAGUUAUUUGAUCACUGGUGGACCCACAAAAGACCCCAACCACUCCGGGUUGCGAGCAAACAGGUGCAGGUCCCACAGAGCCCACUGUGCUGCUUUCUCGCGGACCCUGAAGCGGAGGAACUGGACUGUACCUCUUAGAACCGUACCUGUUGGAAAUGUGCUAGCCCUUGGUCUGAUUUCUUCUGUAAAGAGGCUACUCCUGUAGAGACAAGUGUUUAUACAUUUUAUUCUGGUCUAGAGAAAACCACCAUGAAAUGGAUUCCAGACAUCAUGAAAAGAACAGCUUUAAAUCCAAAUGACAGCCCUGCCUUAGUUUAAAGCUAAGUUCUCUUUUCUGCUUAUUAUGGAUCUUUGAUAAGAAAUACAAUUGCUGAGAAGUCUGCUUUGCUUGCUGUUUGCUACGAGCAUUGUGAAACCUUUCCUGAAUGUAACCCGCUAUGUAAUAGAGUAAGUUGUGAAACUUCCUAAAUGUAGUCUGGUAGGUAAUAGAAUAAGUGAUUGUACAUGAACUAACCGGCAUUUCUCGCUUCUGUAAACCUGCUUGCCUAACAUAUUUUCCCCUUCCCCUUGGUUCCUCAGGUACUUGAGAAAGGGGAGAAAUGAGAGACCUGGGCAAACUGUUUGCCUAGUCAUCCUGGUCUGUGAAAAACAAACUUAGCUUCAAUCCGCUUGCUUAACCAGCUUGUUCCGCUUCUGUACAACUGCUUGGCGUAACCGCGAAGAAUCCCUAACUUCCCCAUAACUUGUUUGUACCUGUCUAUAAAAAGGCUAUAAGAACCUCACUCGGGGCCUCUUAGCGUCACCGGCAACAAGUGCGCGGAGGUCCAGGUUCGAACCUGCAAUAAACGACCCUUGCCGCUUGGCUUUG